rnacentral:rRNA from 1 species
AUUUUCGUCAAUGGGCGCAAGCCUGAACGAGCAAUGCCGCGUGAACGAGGAAGGUCUUCGGAUCGAAAAGUUCUUCUGAAGGGGAAAAAGAGAGGAGAGAGGAAAUGAACUCCGAUUGAUAUUACCCAUCGAAGAAGUCACGGCUAACUACGUGCCAGCAGCCGCGGUAAUACGUAGGUGGCGAGCGUUAUCCGGAAUGAUUGGGCGUAAAGGGUGCGUAGGCGGCCUGCUAAGUCUGGAGUGAAAGGUACCGGCUCAACCGGUACAGGCUCUGGAAACUGGCGGGCUAGAGAGCAGGAGAGGGCGGUGGAACUCCAUGUGUAGCGGUAAAAUGCGUAGAUAUAUGGAAGAACACCAGUGGCGAAGGCGGCCGCCUGGCCUGUUGACUGACGCUGAGGCACGAAAGCGUGGGGAGCAAAUAGG